rnacentral:lncRNA from 1 species
UGCGAAACGGUCCGUAUUCCGUGCCCACUUAGAGCACUGAACAUCCCACGUCUUGGUUUGACUUCCUGGUACAGGAUACUUGCACUUAGCAUGGAGUGAUGAAGCAGAGCAGUGUACUUUUAUUAAAUGUGCAGAUUUUAGCAGUAUAACAGCAGUUCAUGAAAAAAACAUGUGUGCUGAAAAUAAAGUGUUUUUACCCACA